ACACUUCUUUUCUCCCAAAUUUUCAAACCCUAGCGUCCCAACCUUGUUUUCUACUGAAUCCCCCCAGUGACUGCGAGUGCCGAGAAGACUCCACCAGAGUAGAUUCCAGAAGAACUCUUCAUCUUCAAUCUGCGGGUACUUAUUGAUAGAUAAAUAUAUGUAUAAAAUAAUUCAUGAUCGUCCCUCAUAUUAAUCUCCAAAUCUCCAAUCGAUUAUUUCCCCAAAAUAAUUUAAAAUUAGUCAUAAAUCAUAUAUCAUAAUGUAUACAUUGUAUAUUUAAAACAGUUUAUUGUUUUUUUAAAACAGCACAUGAUCCUCAAUCGAUUAUUUCCAAAAUCAAAUUAAUUUUUUUAAAUUACUCAUAAACAUAAUCAUUCAUCAUAAUUAGGGGUGGGCGUGGGGUGGGUCAAACCAGACCCAAACACGUCGGGGUCGGGUUUGGGUCGAUAUUUUCGGUCAUGAAACCCGAUGUGAACGACCCGAACACGAGUAUUUUUUACCCGAUUUUUUGGGUCGGAUUCGGGUUUGGUUCGAACCAAACCCGACUCACUCGAAACCCGAAAAAAUUUAUAAAAAAAUUAUUAAAAUAUAAAUAACUAAUAUAAUUCUAUAAUUUAAACUUUAAUUUAAUUUCUAUCUCUUCGCCGUCGCCGGACCUCUCCAUCUUCACAAAUCCUCUCCAUUUUCACAAUCUAUUUUAUUUGAUUUUUAUAAAAUUUGAAAAUUAUUUAAACAAAAAGAUUUUUAUUCAAAAUAUUCAAUUAAUUUAUUAAAUCCGAGCCCGAUAUCUAAACCGGGUUCGGGUUUACUAUUUUUUGACUUGCCCGGGUUUUGACCCGAACCCGAUUUGAAAACUCGGGUUCGGGUCUAGGGAAACCGACCCAUGACCAAUCCUAAUCAUAAUACAUACAUCAUUGCUUUGUAUAUUUGAAAAUUAAAAUAGUAAAGUGAAUUUUAAAAAUAGUACAUUGAAUUUUUAAAACAAUACAUCAUAUUUUCUGACAUUCAUUUCCAUUCACCAAUAAAUUAUUUCCUCAAAUCAACUAAAAAUUUAAAAUUAGUCAUAAUCAUACAUCAUGAAUUUAAAACAAUACACUGAUCCUUACAUUUAAAAUUAGUCAUAAUCUUAUCAAGGAUGAUUUGUCCGCACCUUGAUGACAUAAAGCGUUGAAUGAAGAUUUUAGAUUUCUUCUAAAUGUUUAAUGGCGUUCUUAUUUCUUAAAAAAAAAUAAUGGAGCUGAUAAAGCAUUUCCCCCUAGUUUACAAUUAUACGUUUUCCAAAAAAGUGAAUACACAUUGAUAUCUAUUUAUCUUAUAUGAUUUAAUAUCAAGAUAUUAUACGUUUACAUUGUUUUUUAACUUGUAUCUUGAGUGAAUUGGUCGGGUUUUGCCUUCACCCAUAAUAUAUAAGAACAUUAAGACAAAACUAGCUGCAAUAAAUUUAUAUAAUUAAUUCAUUUUCAUUGUUACUGUUGUGAUUCAUUUAUUGUAGAGAGUUGAGUGAGUUGGAUGAAGCGUGAGUCGGAGCGACGCUGGGGAUUAGAGGCGACGGUGAGGAGUCGUUGGGAGAGAAGAUGAAUCGCUUAGGAAACCCUAGGGUUUUAGUUUUUGAUUUAGUUUUGAAAAAAGUGAAUAUAAAAUAUUACAACAUUGGUUUAUAUACUAACUCCUAAUGGGCCUUGAGUAUGGGCCAACUUAACCUUACUAACAAGACUCU
rnacentral:lncRNA from 1 species